GAAGAGGAUAGGAGAGCAGAAGGAGGACUGAGCAGGAGUGGGCUGUCUGGUUUCUCCUCUGUCCCCUGUAGGUCGUCAAGCGAGGCAACCUGUCCCAGGCGGAGGUGAUUGGCCGUGAUGUCCUGAAGCUCCUCCCUAAUGACCACACCAUAAUGUACUCAUUGGCUAACGUUUUGGGCAAACUACAGAAGCAUGAGUGGGGGAAGCUGGAGCUGGCGCUGGCAGAAAAGCACUAUGAACGGUCUCUGAUGCUGGACCCAGAGGCCCCGGGUAACCAGGACAACAUGCUGCAAUGCAAACUGGACCAGCUUUACAUGGCCAAACCACCCUGAGGCACUCAACUACUGACUGCAUGCCACAUACACACACAGUUCUUUGAAUCAUGCUUGAA